GCCCUCUUGAGCUCUUGUGGUGACCUGGGAAUCAAUGUGUGAGGUGGUGCUAUGUAGCAGGAACCCCUCUUGCUUUGCAAAUAGUUUUUUGUUUGUUUUCCUUUUUGCCCAAUAGAGCCCUGCUCUACUGACCCUUCAAUGUGCCCGUGUGCCUAAAUAUUCCUGGUCGUGUGAAAAGAACCCAGGUAUUAGCUGAACUAAGGAGCACAAUUCUGCAACAUUUUGGCACCCAAACACGGGGCUUGAGAAAUGAAUGCAAUUGGAGAAACUGGUUGUUUUACCAGGCGUUGAUUGGAAAUGUGUGCUUCCCUUUAAGCAGUCAAGCUCAACUUGCAGAACUGAUGGGAACCCCUUGGGAAAACUGGCCUCAAAUGUUUGUCUACACAGUCCACAUACAGGGUUCUUAACCUGCGAUGAGGGAAACUUCCCAGGGCUUGUCUGGGUAUGCCCACAGUGGACUGGAGCCCAAAAUGCACACUGGAGGAAGUGGAUGGAGCCACGUGGAUGUCAUGCCUUAUGCAGGGGAGGAGCCUGCUCUCUUCAGCUCCUGUGGUAAUGUGGGAAUCGAUCUGUGAGGAAACACUUUCUGAAAAUGUCAGAACUCUUGAAAACAUGGAUGAGGAAAAGCAUAAGUACUGCUUUAUGCUUUUCUUAUGAAUUUUAAAAGAUGUAAUUUAAAGGUACUUUAAAGUGAUAUUUGUGCCCUUGUAACUGAUUCAAAGUAGACUGCUAAGGACAAUAAGUAAUAAGAGUCUACAAAUAUCAGUAAAUUAUGAGAAAAAACGGUCUAAUGGUACUUAAAAUUGCAUUGUGAUUUAUUAAAUAACAUUGAACAGCUCCACCUGUAACAUUAAGAUUCCAUUUGAGCAUAUAGAAAAUAUAUUUAUCGCAACCUGAAGUGAUUUGGAAAGUAUGCUGGGAAGAAAAUAUAUUUACAAAUUAGUCUCAGAGGGUAGGUAUCCUGUAGCCAGAUGGAAUAAGAAGAGAGGGAAGGGAGAUUUUGUUCAAAGGGGGAGCAUAAGCUAAGGAAUAAAGCCACAAACAAUGAUUAAAUUAGGUAAAGUGCAAUUAGCUGAAUAUUGCAUAAGCAUACAUAUGGGAAGAAGUGGAAAAAGGAGUGACAAUAUGAAGCUAAAGGGUUUGAAGUGUUCAAGAUAAUACUAGGCUUCCUAGCCUAUUCCGAGACAUCUUGUUUUAGAGUGCAAUAGAUAAGAACUCUAAGGAUGAAAGUAGGAGACAUGCAUUCUAGUCUACGUUUUGGUUAAUGGACUGAAAGUGAAAGAUGGACUGAAAUUGGGGGAUGGAAUAAAAAUGUGAUAGAAUAGAAAAUAGAAAAAGCAAUUAGCCUAAUGUCAUUGAUACUUAGAGAAAAUAUGGAAAAUAGUAAAUUAGUGAUAUAUAUCUUUUCUAAUUCACCAGGGUGAGUGAACAAAGGAAAUCGGAUUUAAAAGUAUUCAUGACAUAGAUGCAAUAAGGUUUCUCAGUCAGACAUAGCAAAUUGAGGGAAGGGAAGAUUUAGAGGAUUGGAAAAUGUCUUGCUUGUAGACUAAUAGGAUAUCAAUAAGCCAUAUGAGCAAUAAUUUGAAAUAGUUUUUGUAAAGUAUCAUGAAGGUAAACCCUGUUUAGAACAAAUUAGAUUUGAAGUACUUGUGACAAAUGCAAUUGACAAUGCCUUUAUGCAGCUGGAAAAUUGUUGCUUAGCAGAAAAGCUUGUGCUGGACAAAUAGAUGUCCAAAUUGAAUAGAUGUUUUCUUAAGCUGAACUAAUUGAGACAAAUAUCCUUAUUAAAUCAAAAAAUUAAAAAUUGAAAUAACUUACCUAUGAUAGGGUAAAUAAUGUUAUUAAUAUACACAAGAAAUAUGUGAUGUAUAUGUGUAUGUACAUAUGUAUACAUAGUAAUAAUACAUAGUGCUAUUUUUAAAUGAUAUUUUACAUAGUGCUUUUUUAAAUGAUUUUUCAAUCAUCGUUGUUGGUCUGUGUUAUUUUAAUCAUCAAAGCUGAUUGAUUUCUGUUUUUGUGUUUUUUUUUGUUUUUUUUGAGGUGGAGUCUCACUCUGUCACCCAUGGUGGAGUACAGUAGUGCGGUCUUAGCUCACUACAAACUCCACUUCCCUGAUUCAAGUAAUUCUUGUGCCUCAGCCUCUCGAGUAGCUUGGAUUGCAGGCAUGCACCACCACGAGCUGCUAAAUUUUUUGUAUUUUUUGUAGAGGGGUUUUGCCAUGUUGGCCAAGCUGGUCUCAAACUCCUGACCUCAAGUGAUCCGCCCUGGCUUCCCAAGCCCAGCUGAUUCCUGUUUAAAUAAAAACUUACAAAGAUCUUCCCACAAGUACUUUAUCUUACAAUUUACUGAACAAUAGAGGCAGUGAAGAUGUUUUUCAGAAAGCAAUUGUGAUCCUGACAUUUUCUUCUUAUAAUCCUGUGCUUUCCUCAUUUUUUUAUAUUAAAAGUAAUAGUUCUUGUGAUGGCAACUAGGAUUUGUAACAACAUGUACCCUCAUUUCCUGCAUGACCUUUUUUAUGUCACUUCUUCACAUGCAAAGUAUACUCCCUCAGUGUCAUUACAUUAUUUGAUUUUUGCCCUUUCCCUCACCUUUCCAUGUGUUUAUUUGCCUAUGCCCAUCUCCUAGUCACAUUUUAUCUAGUUAACGCCAACUUGACUUUCAAUGCUGUUCAAGAUUUACCUCAAUCUCAAGUGUUUUCUCUUUAUAUUCCAUACACGCUUAGCUUGGCUGCCAAUCCUCUUGGCUGCCAAAGAAUCCCAAAUUAUCUCUUUCAAAAAUACAAGAAAUAAAGGAUGGAGGAUAGGAAGGAGGGUGGUCAGGAAAGAACAAAGAAAGGAGGGGAGAGGAAAAAAAGAGAGAAAGAAAGAGAAUUAAAGUUAAGGAGGAAGAAUUUCACACUGAAUUAAAAUUGAUAAUAUUCAGGAAUGAUUUUAUAGUAGGCAUACAUUGAUAAAUAUUAGUUAAAUUAAUGAAUUAUUCCAAAAGAUCAUGAUUUGUAAAAAUUACCCUGAAGCACUUUAGGAAUAUUACAUUGAAAUAGGUAUGCAAUUUCUAAAGAAACUGGACUGCAAAAAUAGCCAUUGUGUGUACCUGUGGACCAGAAUAUUAUAUUUUGCUUAAGUUUGAAGUGUUAAAGUGCCCAACGUGCUCUUAUUUUAACCUAGCAAAUUUUCAGCAGAACUUAAGCUCAUAUAGUAUUUGAUUUUUUCAUUUCUCACAACUGUUGGAAUUCUGUUUUAUUGAAAAUUAUACAAUAAAAUGUUAAAAAAUCUUUGUUCCUGCAGUUAUGCAAUCUUAUGCCAAAGUCAAUAAAUUAUUAAAUUAAAAUCAAACCCACUAAGCCUAACAAUUUGAGAAAAUGAUUAUUAAAACAUAUACCAUUUAGAAGGGCAAUGCCUUUUUAAUAUUAUAGUGAAGACAACCCUAUCAAUUAUUUAAUACACCAAGAAUACAAGGAUAUAAAAUCUUUUUCUCUCAUAUAUCACAUUAUCUGAUGUAUUUAGCUGUGAUGACAUUCCAGAAAACAUCACUUUUUAAAAUUUCUAAGAUUUUAUUAUGUUGCUAGCAAAUCGAUUUUUUUCAAGUACUGUAACAAAAUCCCUAAAUGGGCUUUAUGAGAACUAUUUUCAGUGUGAUAUUAAUCAUAUUUUAUUUAUCAUCCAUACAUAGAUGGUAGCUUAUCUGGUAUUCCUAGUGUUUGAAGUGAAGAGUAACACACACACACAUCCCAAUACCAAUUUAAUUGAUAAAUAUAUAAUCAUUUGUUUUCAAAUAUUUAUGUUGAUACUUGCUUGUGUACUUACUUGUAAUGUAGGUCUGUAAAAGGGACUGUUUUCUUUCUGUGAAACUGAAGCUUAAAGCAGUGCUUGUCACAAAUUCAAAAUCACCUUGCUUUGUCAACAUUUUCAGAUGUUUUUGGCUCAGUCUGAUGACAGCAUCAGUGCAGUAAAGGGAUCUUAUUGAAAUGUUUUAACUAAAGAUAAAAUGCCACCACUAGGAGAAAAAUAAAAUCAAGGAAAUAAACAGAAAAUCAAUAAAUGUGAAAUGUAUUAUAAAUUUAUAUAAUAACAAUGUUGUAUGCUAUAAACAUCUCACUUUGUAAAAUUAACAAGAAUUCAGUGAGGCAGAUCAUUUUCUAUGUGUUCAGAAGUCAAGUCUUUGAUGGCUAAUUUUUAUAUUACUUCAUUACAAUAUCUCUACUGAAGCAAAAUAAUUGCAAAUCUUUUUGAAUGAAAUCAAUUUAUCUUUAAUUUUAGAUAAUAUUUGGUAUAGUUGGCAUAGUUUUGUCACAAAGCAUAGCUAACAUCAAUGUAGCCUUACGACUUCAAAUGUCUUUAUAGAUCUUUUCUGAAAUUGCAAAAUUUUACUUUGAAAUUAUUGUUAAUAUUUACGUUGCACAACCACAAAUGUAGAAAUAAAAUUAUAAAGUCUCCAGAUAAUGUUUUAUUUUAACCACACAUAUGUUGUGAUAGUUUCAAAUAAAUGAAAGCUCUACUGAUUUAUCAUUUUCAACAUCUUUACAUUAUUUAAGUAAUAUUAAUUAUAUUUAUGUAAAAAUACCUGAAUAGUCAUAACGAAAAUUUAAUAAUAAUGUAUAAUAUAUUGUUAACAUCUUUUAUUUUCACAAAAACACCAAGGAAGAAGCAGUGAGUAUUUUUUAUUUAUUUUAAAAAUUAACUUUUCAAUAAAUUAUUUAGGAAUGACUGGAAAUGUGCUGAGACAAAGAAGCAGUUGUCACUGUACACAAACAUGAAAUCAAUUACCUUUUGGAGAGUUUAUGAUGUGUGAGAGCUAGUGAAGUUACAUUGCAGAAGAGCAUAUAAGGAAAUCCAGAUCUGUAUAUAUUGUAGUAUAGUUUUAGUAUAAAUCUCUAAGAUUACACUUUAGACUAAGCCACAUAGUCAAACUGUUGUCUAUUUAUUCCUUUUGAAGAUUGAAACUCCCACAACUUUGGCAGACCAACUCCUCAGAAAACAUUAUUCUUUGACAUCAAUAUGUUUUGCACAAAAUUGAAUGGCAAGUGAAAGGCAUCAAAUGGUGAGAAUCUAGAAAAUAGUGCAUGUACGGGAAGGCUUUGCUCAAUACAAAUCACUUGCAUGGGACAGUCUUCUUUAGUGAGUUUAUUAUAUACGGGAACAGAGAGGUAAUAUGAAAUGGAAUAUGGAAUAUGGCACUAGCAAGCACAAAUAUUCAAAUAUGUGGAGGAACAACUGGAUGUGAUAAAACACUAUAAAAAAAAUAGAGAGAAAAAUGACAGUAGGAAAAAGACUGUAUAUAUUUUUUGAGAAUAAAAGAUAGUUUCAUUUCAUUGGUGGACAUGAGAUGAGUUGAUGCAGCAUGCAGGUGGAUACCAUUUUUUUCAAAGAAAAUAUGAACAGAGUCUCAAAUAAAUAACAAAUGUUUAUAUGUGGGUUUCAAGGACAGAGAAUAAUAAAAUAACCAAAUAUACAUAAUGUUCCAGUAAAAUGAUCCAUCAGGGCUUACAGAAAGCGUAACUAGAGAGAGACAUUAACUUGCAGAUGAUUUGUUUCUGGCUAAUGUUGUGACAGGAGUGUAGCAUUUCCUUUCUUCUCAGUUUCCUAUCUCACUUACCUUUUGAAAAGACAUGAUUCCAUAUUAUAUUUAUUCUGUUUCUCUCUUUCUUUAUUCAUUUACCCUACUUUACUGAAAAAUCUCAAACAUCAUAGAAACAUGCAUGUCUUGGUUCUCCAAGUUUGAAAGGAAAAUAAUGUAGAAAGCUCUGUUUUUUUUGCCCUGGCAUUUAUAUACUCUCCAAUCUCACUACUCCCAUAUCACUCUUCUACCUCUCUUAGAGCAAAAUUGCCUCUUAAAAAAGGACAUUGCACCCAGCAUGGUGGCUCAUGCCUGUAAUCCCACAACUUUGGGAAAUUGCGCCAGUGCACUCCAGUCUGGGAGACAGAGCGAGACUCCAUCUAAAAAAAAAAAAAAAAAAAAA
ensembl:lncRNA PURPL p53 upregulated regulator of p53 levels